rnacentral:rRNA from 1 species
GGCUCAGAGCGAACGCGGCGGGCGCACUUAACACAUGCAAGUCGAACGAGGAUCAUCCGUGUAGCAAUACAUUGGUGGUCCUAGUGGCGCACGGGUGAGUAACACGUGGGUGACCUGCCCUAGAGCUCGGGAUACCCCCUCGAAAGGGGGGCUAAUACCGGAUACGUUCCUCGGUCGAAAGAUCGGGGAGGAAAGGUGGCGCAAGCUGCCGCUCUUGGAGGGGCUCGCGGCCUAUCAGCUAGUUGGCGGGGUAACGGCCCACCAAGGCUAUGACGGGUAGCUGGUCUGAGAGGACGACCAGCCACACGGGGACUGAGACACGGCCCCGACUCCUACGGGAGGCAGCAGUGGGGAAUUUUCCGCAAUGGGCGAAAGCCUGACGGAGUGACGCCGCGUGUGGGACGAAGGCUUUCGGGUCGUAAACCACUGUCAGUGGGAAAGAUGGGUGUCGGGGCUAAUACCUCCGGCAUCUGACGGUACCUGCAGAGGAAGCCCCGGCCAACUCUGUGCCAGCAGCCGCGGUAAGACAGAGGGGGCAAGCGUUGCUCGGAAUUACUGGGCGUAAAGGGCGCGUAGGCGGGAUGGCAAGUCGGUCGUGAAAUCCCUCGGCUCAACCGAGGAACGUCGAUCGAUACUGCUGUUCUUGAGGAUUGCAGAGGAGACUGGAAUUCCCGGUGUAGCGGUGAAAUGUGUAGAGAUCGGGAGGAACACCGGUGGCGAAGGCGGGUCUCUGGGCAAUUCCUGACGCUGAGGCGCGAAAGCGUGGGGAGCAAACGGGAUUAGAUACCCCGGUAGUCCACGCUGUAAACGAUGACGACUAGGUGUGGGGGGGUUCAGUCCCUUCCGUGCCGCAGCUAACGCAUUAAGUCGUCCGCCUGGGGAGUACGGCCGCAAGGU